GUCUCACCUUUGUUUCUCUGUUUGUAG
rnacentral:piRNA from 1 species